rnacentral:rRNA from 1 species
GAUGAACGCUGGCGGCGUGCCUAAUACAUGCAAGUCGAGCGAACGGACGAGAAGCUUGCUUCUCUGAUGUUAGCGGCGGACGGGUGAGUAACACGUGGAUAACCUACCUAUAAGACUGGGAUAACUGCGGGAAACCGGAGCUAAUACCGGAUAAUAUUUUGAACCGCAUGGUUCAAAAGUGAAAGACGGUCUUGCUGUCACUUAUAGAUGGAUCCGCGCUGCAUUAGCUAGUUGGUAAGGUAACGGCUUACCAAGGCAACGAUGCAUAGCCGACCUGAGAGGGUGGUCGGCCACACUGGAACUGAGACACGGUCCAGACUACUACGGGAGGCAGCAGUAGGGAAUCUUCCGCAAUGGGCGAAAGCCUGACGGAGCAACGCCGAGUGAGUGAUGAAGGUCUUCGGAUCGUAAAACUCUGUUAUUAGGGAAGAACAUAUGUGUAAGUAACUGUGCACAUCUUGACGGUACCUAAUCAGAAAGCCACGGCUAACUACGUG